GUUGAAGUCCAAAAUACCUGGAGGGCCAAAGCUUGCCCAUGCCUGCCUUAAAGGCACCUUGUUCUUUGAAUCUAAGCAGGUCCAGCCCUGGCUUGUACUUGGAGGGAGACCACAAUGAAUACCAGGUGCAAUA
rnacentral:rRNA from 11 species